AACGCUGGCGGCGUGGCUAAGACAUGCAAGUCGCACGAGAAAGUUCCUUCGGGAACGAGUAGAGUGGCGAAAGGGUGAGGAAUACAUGGAUAACGUACCCCAGGCACAGGGAUAGCCGUGGGAAACCGCGGGUAAUACCUGACACCGUCAUGAUGCUGCAGGGCAUCUUGAUGAAAGGUGGGGACCUUCGGGCCUAUCGGCCUGGGAGCGGUCCAUGUCCUAUCAGCUUGUUGGUGAGGUAACGGCUCACCAAGGCAACGACGGGUACCGGGACUGAGAGGUUGACCCGGCACAUUGGGACUGAGACACUGCCCAGACUCCUACGGGAGGCUGCAGUAACGAAUAUUGCACAAUGGGCGCAAGCCUGAUGCAGCGACGCCGCGUGUGGGAGUAAGCCCUUCGGGGUGUAAACCACUGUCAGGGACUACCAAGCAAUGGAGGUGAAUAAUCUCCUGCGUUGAGGCGUCCCAGAGGAAGUCACGGCUAACUUCGUGCCAGCAGCCGCGGUAAUACGAAGGUGGCAAGCGUUGUUCGGAAUCACUGGGCUUAAAGAGCACGUAGGCGGACUGUCAAGCGUCUUGUGAAAUCCCUCGGCUUAACCGAGGAAUUGCUGGGCGAACUGACAGUCUUGAGGCAAGUAGGGGCGCACGGAACUCUUGGUGGAGCGGUGGAAUGCGUAGAUCUCAAGAGGAACGCCAGAGGCGAAGGCGGUGCGCUGGGCUUGACCUGACGCUGAGGUGCGAAAGCCAGGGGAGCGAACGGGAUUAGAUACCCCGGUAGUCCUGGCCAUAAACGAUGUCUACUAGAUCUGAGGUGUUCUGACACACUUCUGGUCGAAACCAAAGCGUUAAGUAGACCGCCUGGGGAGUACGGUCGCAAAGGCUAAAACUCAAAGGAAUUGACGGGGGCUCACACAAGCGGUGGAGCAU
rnacentral:rRNA from 1 species